AUUGAACGCUGGCGGCAGGCCUAACACAUGCAAGUCGAACGGUAACAGGAAGCAGCUUGCUGCUUUGCUGACGAGUGGCGGACGGGUGAGUAAUGUCUGGGAAACUGCCUGAUGGAGGGGGAUAACUACUGGAAACGGUAGCUAAUACCGCAUAACGUCGCAAGACCAAAGAGGGGGACCUUCGGGCCUCUUGCCAUCGGAUGUGCCCAGAUGGGAUUAGCUAGUAGGUGGGGUAACGGCUCACCUAGGCGACGAUCCCUAGCUGGUCUGAGAGGAUGACCAGCCACACUGGAACUGAGACACGGUCCAGACUCCUACGGGAGGCAGCAGUGGGGAAUAUUGCACAAUGGGCGCAAGCCUGAUGCAGCCAUGCCGCGUGUAUGAAGAAGGCCUUCGGGUUGUAAAGUACUUUUCAGCGGGGAGGAAGGCGAUAAGGUUAAUAACCUUGUCGAUUGACGUUACCCGC
rnacentral:rRNA from 1 species